GGCUUUUCGCAAAAUAAAUUCGUCUACUUUCAAUUGUGCAGGAAACCCAAUCCAUAAGACCUCACUGGGUUCUCCACUCUUAUCAUUUAACCUUGAUUUGUCCGGAUGUGGUGAUAAGUCAGGAGUAGAGUGGCGAGGCCUCAAGUCCCUUUGCGGAAGUGGAGAUCUUCUUAUCAUGGGACGUUCAUCUCGACGUGGAAAAUACUCUUCAUCCCGUGCUGGAGGUGAUGAUUUUUCCUGUGAUAUAAAACCCUAUUUAGAGCAGAACUAUCGCCAUUUUUUAUUGAACGAGGCCUCAAGUCCCUUUGUGGAAGUGGAGAUCUUCUCAUCAUGGGACGUUCAUCUCGACGUGGAAAAUACUCUUCAUCCCGCACUGGAGGUGAUGAUUUUUCCUGUGAUAUAAAAC
rnacentral:lncRNA from 1 species